UGGGACUUUCAUGGCUGCUCCUAUCUAAUGCCUGAAAAUUUCUUUUCUGAGCCUACCACACUAUCUAUUUCUUCUCCUAUUGGGUGGUUGGUCAUAGAGGUGGAUGUGGGCCGAAUGAGGGAUAUGGAUCUAGUCUGCUGGGGUGUUGUUCCAAGGUAAGGCCGAUAGAUAGAAGCAAUUAUGAGAAUCAGUGAGCGUGAGGGCGUACCGUUGACAUGUUACAUCAUAGCAUGGUGGGCGUUCUGAGAAUGCCUUGUUGGUUAAAAGCCCGGUGGUCUUUCGGGGCGAGUCUUCCACUUGUUUCCGUUGCCAGUGACCAGCGCAUUGAUUAGUUCGGCAAGGCCGGCACUGCAACUCGGCAGAUCAAUGCAUCAACCCCAAUUAUAGAAAUGAAAGGUUAAAAAUAGGUAUCCACGGUUUCAAAAAGAAGGUCGCGCAAUUAUCUCUGAUUCUUACCAAGAAACUAGAGACAGAAACCAAACGGCCGGCUCUUCAGGGAGAUGUCAGGGGUUGAACUCCCGCUUCACCAAGAAUGGUCCUUAACGCUGUUCCUGAAGUAAGACGAGUCACAUCCAUCUCAAAUGAAGUAAAGAUCGCAUGUUCGCAUGAGGUGCUAGGAAGAAUCUCAUCAGUGAUUGACUGAGGCGUCAGGGAGUUCCAUGAUUCCCAUUAAACGAAACAAUUCAUGUUCGAUGAUGAUCGAAUGAAUUGAUGAUAAAGAAAAAUUACGAAAUGAAGGCAACUUCUCCAUAUUUCAAUUAUCAUCUAUUUCUUAUACACUUUAUUGUCUUGGGGAAUACCGCUAUUAAGGUUUUAAAUAUUAAAUAAAAUUAUGGCACUCCGAGAUGGCGUAAUCAUGUUUUCUCCAAGAUACAGUAUCAUUUCCUAUCCAGGCCAGAGUCAGAUCCGAAGAAGGUAAAAUAAUCUUGCACAUAAUACGACAGUGGGAUUCUGAUUUCUGAGAUUGAUUAGGCAAGAAAACAUGCAAUGCAUUUAACUAUAGAUGGAAUAUCGCGCAGAGGUUACCUAAAAAUCUUGCACAUGCUACGGCAGUGGUAUCUAUACAGACGUAAUGCUGCUGGAAUUGCGUAUGAGGAAACCAAACUUGCCUUAAGUGGAAGGAAUUCACUCCUUGCCAAAAGCGGAAAUGUACGUCUUCAAUGAAGUAAUCUUGCUUUACUUAGUGGGCCAUUACCUGAGAUCACAAAAUCGGAGACCAGGUUGUUGACGACCCACGAUGAGGGAAAAAAGCGUCAUCGCAAAUUAUCUUUCACGAUUUCCUUCUCAUUGAAAUCUGCAAAUCCAUUAGAACAGGAGGCAUAAAAAAUCUGGAUGCACAGGCUGUGUUGUUGAUGAAAGACGGCUUUGGACAGCAAAUCAAAGAAAUCGAGAUUUGUUGUUCGUUGUUCUUCACUCUCUCCCCACCCAGCGCCACCCAAAUCUACCUCUUUUUCGUCAUCCUGCGGGGUCUUUGUAUCUGCAAGCGCGAGGAGAAUUUUGUUACAAGCGACAGAUGAAAGGUUACUUCAGCAUUCUCUAUUUUCAUUGUCAUAAUAUCACGAGACAACAAUCGGAUCAUGAUUGUCCAGAACUAAUAAGAAAAUGGGAAAUUUUAUCAUUACCAUUCCUGCUUAAUCAAGGGAUUGAAAAGCCAUAACUGAAAUUUUUAACAAGGGACAAACGCAUUGAAAAGUUAAAUCCAAGAAGAUCAUUAUAACGACAAUUAACAGCAGACAUUUUACGAACGUCUAACAUGAGGAAUAGCACGAUCUACUAGAGAGCACCUGAACGGAGUAGCCAAAAAAAGUAGUAACAAUAAAUGAAUUUGUGAUAAGAAGCUCUACAUGAGUACAUUCUCGAAACCAAUUAUUGGAAACAAAUAGGAGUGGAAUUUCGAAUUGGACUUCCUACCCGAUAUAGAUAAAUAUUCCUACGACUAAAAGAUCACAAAUAACUUAAAUAUUCAAGACAGCAAGACUAUACACUUACUAUGGAAUAGUUGAUUUUCAUAUAUUUGACAUACAAAUUCCAAGACUGUCUUCUUUAUUUGAAAGAAAGAGUCAAACAAGCCAUGUUAUGUUAAAGCAAAACGAAAAACUAGAUUAGCAGAGGUUAACAUUGCUAUGAAAGUGUGGAUAAAUUCGAAGAAGAACACGAUAAGGAAGCCUAAGAGGGAGGAACAUGGCUUCUGAUAAAUCAAUAGCGCCCCCCUCUCGCAGCAUAGAGUAAUAGUAAAAUUCAGGUGCAAAAAAUUUAGUCCACAUGAAAAUCUCCGACUGAACGUCUAAUUAUUUGAAUAAUAUUUCCUGAACAUAGGCAAGCAUAAAAAAUUGGAAUUUAAUUCACUUAAUCAACAUUCACAGGGGUUGUAGAAAAUCAUUUCGUCAAGAUCAAGCUAUUUCUUUCAAGGUAAUUAGGGGUGAGAGGGUGUUACAAGGGAUCUUUGCCAACACUGAAAAGGCCGAAAAAAACAUUGUAUGCAAAGAAAACUACAUUCACGGUAUGGAGUGGGUUCAUGGUCCUGCAUUUAGAUUUCAAGUGGAUGUCAGCGGUUGCACACUGACUGACCAUCUAUGAUGAAUGAUCUAUUGCACGUAUCUAAUUAGAGCAGCUUAAUGGCACUUGAUUGAAAUGAAGAUGCAGGAUAAAGAUCAAUUUAAUAUCAGAUGUAAUCACUUCAUAGCAUUAUUAAAUUCUUUAUUAAUGUUGCAAGCCCCACGAAGGAUUAAACCUAAUAAAUUACUGUCAAAGUACAGUAUAAUUAUCUUUCCUUCUUUCUCCACUAGCUGGGUGCGAGUGCAUAACUUGGAAAUAGCAUCGUAAAACAGAUAUGCAACAUUUGACUUAAGCAUUCAACUUAUUAACUGAUAAUAAAAUUUUACAAUGAGAUACCUCUAAUGUCCGACAAAGAAAAACAAUGGACUUUCCUCUUCAAGCUUCUUUGAAUAGUCAGUACUGUUUUAAAUGAUGGAGACAAAGUAAGAUUUCUCACACCAGUGAGAGACGUUUAGAAUUUCGCAAAACAAAAACGCAACCGAACGAAAAAUGUCACGUAUUUAUUCUGAUUAAAUAAACAUUGAACCUUCGAUCUAACAACCAUAGGCAAGAAUAAAAACUGUACAGAGCCAAGUGUAGACAACUAGGUCAAUGGAAACAACUACAAGACUAAGAUAAAAAGAUAAGUCAAUACAAUCACAUUGAAAGCUUGUUUGAUUUAUAUUAAGGAAAAAAAAUCUUAGGUUUGUCAGAACAUCGGAUACAACAGAGAGCCGGUAUCAUCCAUCUAUCGUGCAGGAUGUUAUUAGGAACUCGAGGAAGGAACAUUUGUCCGAAAACAUAUCUCUGAUCGUGUUCCCAGUCUAACUUUUGGACAGCGCGGGAUUUUUUUCCCUUACGAAACCUCCGCAAAUCAUGCACCCAAUCUGGAACCCGACCAACGCAAAAAAUGCCACAUGGUAAGAAAUAACUCAACAUCCUCACCAUCAUCAUAGCAGAUAGAACAUUAAAUCUGGAACAAGUGAAAUCUCCAAUAACGGCCUCGAAAAGCGCUUUAAUCCAAGAUAGACAAUACACAAAACUCCCAGCGACAGAUGUUCUCCCCAUGGAAGCUCCACGAAACAACCGAAACAUCACGCAGCUCACCGGACAUUUACGAAUGCAGAGCGAAUUGAGCAAGGAAAAAGGAAGACAAAAGAAGAACAAUACGACAACAGAGAGGGGAGGGUUGCCACCUGCCGUUGGACGAGAGCUUCUGAAGCAGGAUGGCGCAAUCCGGCGGAAGAACCAGCGGGAGCCUGAGGAAGAGCCCAGCGGAGGAUCUAUCCAAGCCCUAGACAGAGAGAAUUCAGUCCACAGAUGCGGCAAAUCCCUCUCUCCUCUCCCCUCUCCCCCAUCUAUACAGCUCUUGAGUCGGGCGGUAUAGAUCGUGAUGGGAUUGAGGUGGGGUUCGCGCGUG
rnacentral:lncRNA from 1 species